CAGGUAUUUCUGUAUUGUACAUAAGACUGGAGUAAGAAACAUUGUAACACAACAGCAAUACACCUAACUAAAUUUAUUAACAAGACAAUGAUGUAUACCACACCUAUUAACCAGAGGAAAUAGUGGAUAUAAUACCAAGAAGGUAAUCAAAUUACAAGAGUAUAAAGAGAAUAACUUGACAGAAACAGAAAUACUAAAAACAUUAUAAAGA
rnacentral:lncRNA from 1 species